UAGCGAGUUGGAAGCUGCGUGCUCGUUAAGCCGCGAAAGACAUCCUGCAGAAGACACUGUCAUUGUGUGACGGUCAGACAAACAUUGGCUGCAGACAUGUUCUAAGUAUGCACGAAGCCUUCGACCAUGCUUGAGGUAUGUCCGCACACAAUUUUGUCAUCAUGUCUGCAGAUAAACGAUGCCAACCAGCGAUCCGCCUGAGUUACUCAAAUGACUCGGCGGGCAGCUUCCGGGAAACCAAAGUAUUUGGGUUCCGGGGGAAGUAUGGUUGCAAAGCUGAAACUUAAAGGAAUUGACGGAAGGGCACCACCAGGAGUGGAGCCUGCGGCUUAAUUUGACUCAACACGGGAAAACUUACCCGGCCCGGACACUGGGAGGAUUGACAGAUUGAGAGCUCUUUCUUGAUUCGGUGGAUGGUGGUGCAUGGCCGUUCUUAGUUGGUGGAGCGAUUUGUCUGGUUAAUUCCGAUAACGAACGAGACUCUAGCCUAUUAAAUAGGUGCGUGGUUCUCUGCACCUUGCACCCUUCUUAGAGGGACAAGCGGCUCCUAGCCGCACGAAACAGAGCAAUAACAGGUCUGUGAUGCCCUUAGAUGUCCGGGGCCGCACGCGCGCUACACUGAAGGAAGCAGCGUGUUUUUAUCCCUGUCUGUAAAGACUGGGUAACCCGUGGAACCUCCUUCGUGAUUGGGAUAGGGGCUUGCAAUUGUUCCCCUUGAACGAGGAAUUCCCAGUAAGCGCGAGUCAUAA
rnacentral:ncRNA from 1 species